rnacentral:rRNA from 1 species
GAACGCUGGCGGCAGCCUAACACAUGCAAGUCGAGCGGAUGAAGGGAGCUUGCUCCUGGAUUCAGCGGCGGACGGGUGAGUAAUGCCUAGGAAUCUGCCUGGUAGUGGGGGAUAACGUCCGGAAACGGGCGCUAAUACCGCAUACGUCCUGAGGGAGAAAGUGGGGGAUCUUCGGACCUCACGCUAUCAGAUGAGCCUAGGUCGGAUUAGCUAGUUGGUGGGGUAAAGGCCUACCAAGGCGACGAUCCGUAACUGGUCUGAGAGGAUGAUCAGUCACACUGGAACUGAGACACGGUCCAGACUCCUACGGGAGGCAGCAGUGGGGAAUAUUGGACAAUGGGCGAAAGCCUGAUCCAGCCAUGCCGCGUGUGUGAAGAAGGUCUUCGGAUUGUAAAGCACUUUAAGUUGGGAGGAAGGGCAGUAAGUUAAUACCUUGCUGUUUUGACGUUACCAACAGAAUAAGCACCGGCUAACUUCGUGCCAGCAGCCGCGGUAAUA